rnacentral:rRNA from 1 species
GGGGAAUCUUCCGCAAUGGACGAAAGUCUGACGGAGCAACGCCGCGUGAGUGAUGACGGCCUUCGGGUUGUAAAGCUCUGUUAAUCGGGACGAAAGGUCCUCUUGCGAAUAGUUAGAGGAAUUGACGGUACCGGAAUAGAAAGCCACGGCUAACUACGUGCCAGCAGCCGCGGUAAUACGUAGGUGGCAAGCGUUGUCCGGAAUUAUUGGGCGUAAAGCGCGCGCAGGCGGAUCAGUUAGUCUGUCUUAAAAGUUCGGGGCUUAACCCCGUGAUGGGAUGGAAACUGCUGAUCUAGAGUAUCGGAGAGGAAAGUGGAAUUCCUAGUGUAGCGGUGAAAUGCGUAGAUAUUAGGAAGAACACCAGUGGCGAAGGCGACUUUCUGGACGAAAACUGACGCUGAGGCGCGAAAGCCAGGGGAGCGAACGGGAUUAGAUACCCCGGUAGUCCUGGCCGUAAACGAUGGGUACUAGGUGUGGGAGGUAUCGACCCCUUCUGUGCCGGAGUUAACGCAAUAAGUACCCCGCCUGGGGAGUACGACCGCAAGGUUG